rnacentral:rRNA from 1 species
CCUGACUGCUAUCGGAUUGAUACUAAGCCAUGCGAGUCAUUGUAGCAAUACAAGGCAGACGGCUCAGUAACGCGUAGUCAACCUACCCUAUGGACGGGGAUAACCUCGGGAAACUGAGAAUAAUACCAGAUAGAACAUUAUGCCUGGAAUGGUUUAUGUUUCAAAUAAUUUAUUGCCGUAGGAUGGGACUGCGGCCUAUCAGUUUGUUGGUGAGGUAAUGGCCCACCAAGACUAUUACAGGUACGGGCUCUGAGAGGAGUAGCCCGGAGAUGGGUACUGAGACACGGACCCAGGCCCUAUGGGGCGCAGCAGGCGAGAAAACUUUGCAAUGUGCGAAAGCACGACAAGGUUAAUCCGAGUGGUUUCUGCUAAAGGAACCUUUUGCCAGUCCUAGAAACACUGUUGAAUAAGGGGUGGGCAAGUUCUGGUGUCAGCCGCCGCGGUAAAACCAGCACCUCAAGUGGUCAGGAUGAUUAUUGGGCCUAAAGCAUCCGUAGCCGGCUCAGUAAGUUUUCGGUUAAAUCUGUACGCUCAACGUACAGGCUGCCGGGAAUACUGCAGAGCUAGGGAGUGGGAGAGGUAGACGGUACUCGGGAGGAAGUGGUAAAAUGCUUUGAUCUUUCGAUGACCACCUGUGGCGAAGGCGGUCUACCAGAACACGUCCGACGGUGAGGGAUGAAAGCUGGGGGAGCAAACCGGAUUAGAUACCCGGGUAGUCCCAGCUGUAAACUAUGCAAACUCAGUGAUGCAUUGACUUAUGGUCAAUGCAGUGUUGCAGGGAAGCCGUUAAGUUUGCCGCCUGGGAAGUACGUACGCAAGUAUGAAAC